GACGAACGCUGGCGGCGUGCUUAACACAUGCAAGUCGAACGGAAAGGCCCUGCUUGCAGGGUGCUCGAGUGGCGAACGGGUGAGUAACACGUGGGUGAUCUGCCCCUUACUUUGGGAUAAGCCUGGGAAACUGGGUCUAAUACUGGAUAGGACCAUGCUGUAGGUGGUGUGGUGGAAAGAUUAGUUUCGGUAAGGGAUGAGCUCGCGGCCUAUCAGCUUGUUGGUGGGGUAAUGGCCUACCAAGGCGUCGACGGGUAGCCGGCCUGAGAGGGUGGACGGCCACUUUGGGACGGAGAAAGGGCCCAGACCCCCAGGGGGGGGAGAGAGGGGGAAAAUUGCACAAGGGGCGAAAGCUUGAUGCGGCGACGCCGCGGGGGGGAGGACGGCCUUGGGGUUGUAAACCCCUUUCAGCCCGGGCAAAGCCCUUGUGGUGAGGGUAGUGGUAAAAAAAGCCCCGGCUAACUACGU
rnacentral:rRNA from 1 species